rnacentral:rRNA from 1 species
UACAGAGGUCUCAACCGUUGUUCGGAUUCAUUGGGCGUAAAGGGUGUGUAGGUGGCGCGCUAAGUCGGGUGUGAAAUUUCGGAGCUUAACUCCGAAACUGCAUUCGAUACUGGCGUGCUUGAGGACUGGAGAGGAGACUGGAAUUCAUGGUGUAGCAGUGAAAUGCGUAGAGAUCAUGAGGAAGACCAGUGGCGAAGGCGGGUCUCUGGACAGUUCCUGACACUGAGACACGAAGGCCAGGGGAGCAAACGGG